rnacentral:piRNA from 1 species
UAAUUGGGUGACUCUUUGGAAAAUAGUAGGU